rnacentral:rRNA from 1 species
UACGGGGGGAGCAAGCGUUGUUCGGAUUUACUGGGCGUAAAGGGCGCGGUAGGCGGUCGUGACAAGUCACUUGUGAAAUCUCCGGGCUUAACUCGGAACGGUCAAGUGAUACUGUCGGACUAGAGUACAGAAGGGGCAACUGGAAUUCUCGGUGUAGCGGUGAAAUGCGUAGAUAUCGAGAGGAACACCUGCGGCGAAGGCGGGUUGCUGGGCUGAUACUGACGCUGAGGCGCGGAAA